rnacentral:rRNA from 1 species
UACGUAGGGGGCAAGCGUUGUCCGGAUUUAUUGGGUUUAAAGGGUGCGUAGGUGGUCUAUUAAGUCAGUGCUGAAAUAUCCCGGCUUAACCGGGAGGGUGGCAUUGAUACUGAUAGACUUGAGUAGAGUUGAGGUAGGCGGAAUUGACGGUGUAGCGGUGAAAUGCUUAGAUAUCGUCAAGAACACCAAUAGCGAAGGCAGCUUACUAAGCUCUAACUGACACUGAUGCACGAAAGUGUGGGGAUCAAACAGG